rnacentral:rRNA from 1 species
UACAGAGGUCCCAAGCGUUGUUCGGAUUCACUGGGCGUAAAGGGUGCGCAGGUGGCGCUUCAAGUUUGAUGUGAAAGCUUCGGGCUCAACCCGGAAAUGGCAUUGAAUACUGGAGUGCUGGAGGUUUGGAGGGGGGACUGGAAUUCCUGGUGUAGCGGUGAAAUGCGCAGAUAUCAGGAGGAACACCGGUGGCGAAGGCGGGUCUCUGGGCCGAUACUGACGCUGAGGAGCGAAAGCGUGGGGAGCGAACAGG